rnacentral:rRNA from 1 species
GCCCGCUCAGAAACUCAAAGGAAUUGACGGGGGCCUGCACAAGCGGUGGAGCAUGUGGUUUAAUCGAAGCAACGCGCAGAACCUUACCAGCGUUUGACAUGGUAGGACGACUGGCAGAGAUGCCUUUCUUCCCUUCGGGGACCUACACACAGGUGCUGCAUGGCUGUCGUCAGCUCGUGUCGUGAGAUGUUGGGUUAAGUCCCGCAACGAGCGCAACCCUCGACUUUAGUUACCAUCAUUAAGUUGGGUACUUUAAAGUAACCGCCGGUGAUAAGCCGGAGGAAGGUGGGGAUGACGUCAAGUCCUCAUGGCCCUUACGCGCUGGGCUACACACGUGCUACAAUGGCAAGUACAGUGGGCAGCAAUCCCGCGAGGGUGAGCUAAUCUCCAAAACUUGUCUCAGUUCGGAUUGUUCUCUGCAACUCGAGAGCAUGAAGGCGGAAUCGCUAGUAAUCGCGGAUCAGCAUGCCGCGGUGAAUACGUUCCCAGGCCUU